UAGCAAGUGUGGACAACAAAAUUGUUCAAUUAUACUUCGAUUUGGUGGCUAUGAAUCGCACGUUUGAAUAUAUAACUAAAAGUGAGGUGCUGAAAUCUCAAGAAAUUCUACAGGAGAAGGCAAGUAAGGAAUGGAAUAGAAAAUGGGGAUUUUAUCUUGAUUUUGAUAAGAUUUGCCUAGAGGAAGCUUCAAAAAGAGGAUACACCCCAGAAAUGUAUCGACGACUGGUGGAAUUGAGAAAAAAUAAGAAAAAUUUGGAACCGGACAUUUGGAAGGCUGAAGCAUCGGAUCAUUUUCCAGUAACU